rnacentral:rRNA from 1 species
AACGAACGCUGGCGGCAGGCUUAACACAUGCAAGUCGAGCGCCCCGCAAGGGGAGCGGCAGACGGGUGAGUAACGCGUGGGAAUCUACCCAUCUCUACGGAAUAACGCAUGGAAACGUGUGCUAAUACCGUAUACGUCCUUCGGGAGAAAGAUUUAUCGGAGAUGGAUGAGCCCGCGUUGGAUUAGCUAGUUGGUGGGGUAAAGGCCUACCAAGGCGACGAUCCAUAGCUGGUCUGAGAGGAUGAUCAGCCACACUGGGACUGAGACACGGCCCGCAAUCCUACGGGGGGCGGCAGUGGGGAAUAUUGGACAAUGGGCGCAAGCCUGAUCCAGCCAUGCCGCGUGAGUGAUGGAGGCCGUAGGGUUGUAAAGCUCUUUCACCGGUGAAGAUAAUGACGGUAACCGGAGAAGAAGCCCCGGCUAACUUCGUGCCAGCCGCCGCCGUAACAC